rnacentral:rRNA from 1 species
UACAGAGGGGGCAAGCGUUGUUCGGAAUUACUGGGCGUAAAGGGCGCGUAGGCGGCCUUCUAAGUCAGACGUGAAAUCCCUCGGCUCAACCGGGGAACUGCGUCUGAGACUGGAAGGCUUGAAUUCGGGAGAGGGAUGUGGAAUUCCAGGUGUAGCGGUGAAAUGCGUAGAUAUCUGGAGGAACACCGGUGGCGAAGGCGGCAUCCUGGACCGAGAUUGACGCUGAUGCGCGAAAGCCAGGGGAGCAAACGGG